rnacentral:rRNA from 1 species
ACGCACGCUGGCGGCGUGCUUAACACAUGCCAGUCGUACGGUAAGGCCCUUUCGGGGGUACACGAGUGGCGAACGGGUGAGUAACACGUGAGUAACCUGCCCACAACUUUGGGAUAACGCUAGGAAACUGGUGCUAAUACUGGAUAUGUGCCCCUGCUGCAUGGUGGGGGUUGGAAAGCUCCGGCGGUUGUGGAUGGACUCGCGGCCUAUCAGCUUGUUGGUGGGGUAGUGGCCUACCAAGGCGGCGACGGGUAGCCGGCCUGAGAGGGUGACCGGCCACAUUGGGACUGAGAUACGGCCCAGACUCCUACGGGAGGCAGCAGUGGGGAAUAUUGCACAAUGGGCGCAAGCCUGAUGCAGCAACGCCGCGUGCGGGAUGACGGCCUUCGGGUUGUAAACCGCUUUCAGCAGGGACGAAGCUUUUUGUGACGGUACCUGCAGAAGAAGCACCGGCUAACUACGUG